rnacentral:rRNA from 1 species
GACGUAGGGGGCCAGCGUUGCUCGGAAUUACUGGGCGUAAAGGGUUCGUAGGCGGUGCGACAAGUCGGAAGUGAAAUCUCCAGGCUUAACUUGGAGGCUGCUUCCGAAACUGCCGUGCUAGAGUGCGGGAGAGGCGAGUGGAAUUGCAGGUGUAGCGGUGAAAUGCGUAGAUAUCUGCAGGAACACCCGUGGCGAAGGCGGCUCGCUGGACCGCAACUGACGCUGAGGAACGAAAGCUAGGGGAGCAAACAGG